rnacentral:rRNA from 1 species
CCUACGGGAGGCAGCAGUCGAGAAUUUUUGACAAUGGGGGAAACCCUGAUCGAGCGACGCCGCGUGGAGGAUGAAGGUCUUCGGAUUGUAAACUCCUGUCAUUUGGGAACAAGGUGCACACGUUAACUGCGUGCGUAUUGAUAGUACCAGAAGAGGAAGGGACGGCUAACUCUGUGCCAGCAGCCGCGGUAAUACAGAGGUCUCAAGCGUUGUUCGGAUUCAUUGGGCGUAAAGGGUGCGUAGGCGGCGCGGUAAGUCGGGUGUGAAAUCUCGGAGCUUAACUCCGAAACUGCAUUUGAUACUGCCGUGCUUGAGGACUGGAGAGGAGACUGGAAUUUACGGUGUAGCGGUGAAAUGCGUAGAUAUCGUAAGGAAGACCAGUGGCGAAGGCGGGUCUCUGGACAGUUCCUGACGCUGAGGCACGAAGGUCAGGGGAGCAAACGGGAUUAGAUACCCCGGUAGUCCUGACAGUAAACGGUGCACGUUUGGCGUGGGAGGAUUCGACCCCUUCUGCGCCGGAGCUAACGCGUUAAACGUGCCGCCUGGGGAGUACGGUCGCAAGAUUAAAACUCAAAGAAAUUGACGGGGGCCCGCACAAGCGGUGGAGUAUGUGGCUCAAUUCGAUGCAACGCGAAGAACCUUACCAGGCCUUGACAUGCAUCUCUAAGUUGGUGAAAGCCAGCGAGUCCCGAAAGGGACAAUUUGCACAGGUGCUGCAUGGCUGUUGUCAGCUCGUGUCGUGAGAUGUUGGGUUAAGUCCCGCAACGAGCGCAACCCCUGUGAACUGUUGCCACCGAGCCGUGAGGCUCGAGCACUCUGUUCAGACUGCCCCGCUUUAACGGGGAGGAAGGUGGGGACGACGUCAAGUCAGUAUGGCCCUUACGGCCUGGGCUGCACACGUACUACAAUGCCCAGCACAGAACGAUCCAAGACCGCAAGGUGGAGGAAAUCACUAAAACUGGGCCCAGUUCAGAUUGAAGUCUGCAACUCGACUUCAUGAAGCCGGAAUCGCUAGUAAUGGCGUAUCAGCUACGACGCCGUUCCAUUUAGCCGGGCCUUGUACACACCGC